rnacentral:rRNA from 1 species
UGCAUCUCUUGCGUCUGAGUGAUACAUACAAUCAAUCAAAACUUUCAACAACGGAUCUCUUGGUUCUGGCAUCGAUGAAGAACGCAGCGAAAUGCGAUAAGUAAUGUGAAUUGCAGAAUUCAGUGAAUCAUCGAAUCUUUGAACGCACAUUG